UAUCCAUUGCAAAUCUAUUGGAACGAUUGGAACUUAGUCCGUUUACUCGCGUAUUUCGGCAGAUUAUCCGGGUUAUCAGUGUUAAAGUGCAGUCAAAUACUUGCAAAUAAUAAAAAUGGUGCUUGGUACUUUAUUGUCAGUAUAUCACUUUAUUAGUGACAGGCUGUCAGGAAGGAGAGAAAGAACUUUUAUUAUGAUCAAACCUGAUGGUGUUGAACGGGGAUUGGUUGGAGAAAUAAUCAGACGAUUUGAACGAAGAGGAUUCAAGCUUCUUGCUAUGAAAUUUAUGCAGUCAUCUGUGCAGCAUCUGCAUCAGCACUAUGAGGAUCUGGCGGACAAACCGUUUUUUGCUGGCCUGGUGCAAUACAUGUCAAGUGGUCCUGUGGUGCCCAUGGUCUGGGAGGGACAGGAUGCUGUGCAGAUCGGACGUGCCAUGCUGGGAGAAACACGGCCUCAGGACUCGGCGCCAGGGACUAUCCGGGGUGACUUUGCUCUCCAGGUUGGACGGAACAUUGUUCACGGCUCCGACUCUGUGGCGUCGGCCGAGCGAGAAAUCUGGCUCUGGUUCCGCUCACAUGAGAUCACCAAUUGGGCUCCCUGCGACGAGUGCUGGAUCAACGAAGAAUGAUGAUCGGUGCGACACCUGCCGGAAAACGGUUGCGCUGUCGGGCGGAGCGCGGACAAACCAUGACGACAAUUGACGCCGAUCGUUCGUGCCAUGUUUGUUCGGCCAGUUUUGAUAACUUUUUUUGUUUUUAUACAUUAAGCGAUAAUUUAUAGUUUAUACGACAUGUUGCAUAUGUAAAAUAUAAAAUGAAACAAGCUAA